GUGAUGGCGUGGAUCGAUCAGAGCAAAGGGGGGAGAAGACAAACCCUAACUUCAUGAAAUUCUCAAGAAUUGAAAGAGAUUAGGAGCCCAAACUAAUGCAUGAACUCGAAACCUCAAUCAUCUAAGCUUGUACAACAAGCGGAACGUGUCAAGGAGAGGUCAAGCAUAGGAGGAUAACGGGUCAAGAUAAGGCAAGAUGACAAAUACACUUAUUGGAGUACUCGAGGAAAUUUUAUAAGUAUAUGUGUAUAGGAAUCCAAAGGCCACGUGGGUUGAAUCGUAGAUUGUCUAUACUAUGUAAAGUUUUGAAUGUGACAUUCCGGCAUAAACCUACAUGUAAAAGAAGCUUGUGUAUAUAUUCGUGAUUAAUUGAUUGUGCGAAGGAAGGAACAUUGGCAUGAAUGAAGGUAUGGGGUCGUUGGCUUCAUGAAGAAAUGGAGCUGGAUUUGGAUAAGAGUAUUUAAGAAAGCGCUUGGACAAUUCCACGACUACUUUAUAGAAUGCUCUACGAAAUUUUAUUAUAUAGUUUAAUGUUGAAUGGUAUGUUGAUAACUAAUGGUUUGGUUGUACGUGGUGUCCACAGGUAUCGCUUGGGUUUUCUCUACUUUUAUUGAAGUGAAGCGGACUUAGUUCGAGUUGAGAGCAAGGAUUGUACGGGCUAGAAUGGUCACAUAGUGUAACUCAUAUAGGUUUUGAAGUAUUAAUGUUAUAAAACGUUAUAAAUCCGUUUUAAUGAAUAUAUGGCAUUUCGCAUUU
rnacentral:lncRNA from 1 species